rnacentral:rRNA from 1 species
GACGAACGCUGGCGGCGUGCUUAACACAUGCAAGUCGAACGGAAAGGCCCUGCUUUUGUGGGGUGCUCGAGUGGCGAACGGGUGAGUAACACGUGAGUAACCUGCCCUUGACUUUGGGAUAACUUCAGGAAACUGGGGCUAAUACCGGAUAGGAGCUCCUGCUGCAUGGUGGGGGUUGGAAAGUUUCGGCGGCUGGGGAUGGACUCGCGGCUUAUCAGCUUGUUGGUGGGGUAGUGGCUUACCAAGGCUUUGACGGGUAGCCGGCCUGAGAGGGUGACCGGCCACAAUGGGACUGAGAUACGGCCCAGACUCCUACGGGAGGCAGCAGUGGGGAAUAUUGCACAAUGGGCGGAAGCCUGAUGCAGCAACGCCGCGUGCGGGAUGACGGCCUUCGGGUUGUAAACCGCUUUCGCCUGUGACGAAGCGUGAGUGACGGUAAUGGGUAAAGAAGCACCGGCUAACUACGUG